AAGUCGUAACAAGGUUUCCGUAGGUGAACCUGCGGAAGGAUCAUUACAGUGUCUGGAGGCCGACCGGCGGCGUUUCCCUCACGGGGAGCGUCGUGGCUCGUGCCCCCUCCACACGUGUUUACUACACCCUGUUGCCUUGGUGGGUCUGCCCUUGUGGCUGCCGGGGGUCACCGCGUGUGCCCCGGGCCCGUACCCACCGAUGGACACCCUGAACUCUUUAUGAAUAUAGUGUUGUCUGAGCGUUUAGCAAAUUAAACAAAACUUUCAACAAUGGAUCUCUUGGUUCUG
rnacentral:misc_RNA from 1 species